UGGGGAAUCUUGGACAAUGGGCGAAAGCCUGAUCCAGCGACGCCGCGUGGGGGAUGAAGCCCUUCGGGGUGUAAACCCCUGUUGCGAGGGAGGAAUAAGGCCUGGAGGAAAUGCCAGGCCGAUGACUGUACCUCGCGAGGAAGCCCCGGCUAACUACGUGCCAGCAGCCGCGGUAAUACGUAGGGGGCGAGCGUUACCCGGAUUCACUGGGCGUAAAGCGGGUGUAGGCGGCUCGGUAAGUCGGGUGUGAAAUCCCACAGCUCAACUGUGGAAUUGCGCCCGAAACUGCUGAGCUUGGGGCCGGUAGAGGGAGACGGAACUGCCGGUGUAGGGGUGAAAUCCGUAGAUAUCGGCAGGAACGCCGGUGGGGAAGCCGGUCUCCUGGGCCGCGCCCGACGCUGAGACCCGAAAGCUAGGGGAGCAAACC
rnacentral:rRNA from 2 species